rnacentral:rRNA from 1 species
AUACGUAGGGGGCGAGCGUUGUCCGGAUUUACUGGGCGUAAAGGGUGAGUAGGCGGUUGUAUAUGUCAGGUGUAAAAGGCUAUGGCUUAACCAUAGUUCGCACUUGAAACUGUAUAACUUGAGUGCAGGAGAGGUAAGCGGAAUUCCUAGUGUAGCGGUGAAAUGCGUAGAUAUUAGGAGGAACACCAGUGGCGAAGGCGGCUUACUGGACUGUAACUGACGCUGAGUCACGAAAGCGUGGGUAGCAAACAGGAUUAGAUACCCUGGUAGUCCACGCUGUAAACGAUGAGUGCUAGGUGUUGGGUAGCGAUACUCAGUGCCGUAGCAAACACAAUAAGCACUCCGCCUGGGGAGUACGGCCGCAAGGUUGAAACUCAAAGGAAUUGACGGGG